CUACGGGAGGCAGCAGUGGGGAAUAUUGGAUAAUGGGGGAAACCCUGAUCCAGCAAUGCCGCGUGUGUGAAGAAGGCCUGCGGGUUGUAAAGCACUUUCGGUUGGGAGGACUGCUUCUAGCACUAAUAUUGUUGGAAGUUGACGUUACCUUCAGAAGAAGCACCGGCUAACUCCGUGCCAGCAGCCGCGGUAAUACGGAGGGUGCAAGCGUUAAUCGGAAUUACUGGGCGUAAAGCGCGCGUAGGCGGCUAGAUCAGUCGGGUGUGAAAGCCCCGGGCUUAACCUGGGAACUGCAUCCGAUACUGUCUAGCUCGAGUACAGGAGAGGAGAGUGGAAUUCCACAUGUAGCGGUGAAAUGCGUAGAUAUGUGGAGGAACACCAAUGGCGAAGGCAGCUCUCUGGCCUGAUACUGACGCUGAGGUGCGAAAGCGCGGGGAGCAAACAGGAUUAGAUACCCCCGUAGUC
rnacentral:rRNA from 1 species